GACGAACGCUGGCGGCGUGCUUAACACAUGCAAGUCGAACGAAGUGGCGAACGGGUGAGUAACUCGUAAUCAACCUGCCCUUCUACGGAGGACAACAGUUGGAAACGACUGCUAAUACCGCAUUCGGAAGGAGGGGAUUGCGUCUGCUUAGCUAGUUGGAGGGGUAACGGCCACCCAAGGCAAUGAUCAGAAGCCGGUCCGGGAGGGUGAACGGGCCAAAUGGGACUGAGACACGGCCCAGACUCCCACGGGAGGCAGCAGUGGGGAAUCGUCCGCAAUGGAAGAAAGUCUGACGGGGCAAAGGCGGGGGAGGUAUGACGGCUUUCGGGUUGUAAAGCUCUGUUAAUCGGGACACGGUACCUGAAUAGAAAGCCACGGCUAACUACGUGCCAGCAGCCGCGGUAAUUC
rnacentral:rRNA from 1 species